GCCGGAGUGGCGGAACUGGCAGACGCGCACGACUCAAACUCGUGUUCCCUGACGGGAUUGUGGGUUCAAGUCCCACCUUCGGCA
rnacentral:tRNA from 3 species